UUUGUGUCACUUGGCGCAUUGUCUCUGCUGGAUACAUAAAGCAAAUUAAUGCAAUUUUUAUAUUAUUGAUAUAUAUGCUUGACUAUGAUUAUAUCUUUGAUUUCUACAUAUUAUCUACUAUCUAACAGUAUAAAAUAGGCAUGGGUUUAAAAAUAUGAGAUUUUUAUUUAUAUUUUCUGUAAUUUGAUCUGUAAAUGCAAAAAAACUAAACUUAUCAAAUAUCAACUCUCUAUAAAUAAUUCAACAUUUACUUAGUGACAUCAGAUUUGUUAAAUUUCACAGGAUCGUAUUAUUUUUCAACUUCAGGGUAGUUUUGUUCAUUUUCUCCCACAAAAGUAAGACUCUGCCAGUUUUCCACUGUGAAGUACAACAAACUGCUAAUUGUUUUAUUACUUUGUUUUCAAAAACUACUUUCUCUGUCAGUACUGGGUUAAAUACUAACAAAUUUUUUCUUGCAUUCAGGGGAAUGUUUUCUUUUAAAUUUAGCAACUAGUAUUGGCAGUAAUGAAGUCUAUAAUUUUAUUUUUAAUAAUUUAAAAAAUAUUAAAAAUAUUAAAUAUUGAUAAAAAUUAUCAAAUAAAUGUGUGGGUCACAAUUACUAAAUGGUAUUGUUAUGUAAUAAACAUAAAUUUUAAUUGUUGCAAAAUUGAAAGUAUUAAAUUUCUUAUCAUACUCUGAUCGUGAGACAGUGGGGUGAUAACACUGAAGCAAGAAGAUCGUGUUGUUGAAAAUAGCUGAAAAGGCUUAUUUGAAAUGAAUUGGGAUUGGUCCUGUCAUUGAAACCAGGAGAAAAAGUUAGAAUAUCCUACAUUGUUAUUUUAUUGAAUUGCGAUUGCUAUCUGCAACAAUCGAGAGUAUAGCACUCUCACGUUGCAAGAGAAUUUACUGCAAGUGGUAGUAAGGUAUUGUUUUUCAUAAAAUUUCUCUAAAAAAAAAGUCAUAAACUUGAAAAUCACUGUUGGAAUCACUUCAGAACAUAUCAAUUGAGGAAUACUAAGGCCGCAGUUCAACUAUUAUUUAUUUUUGAGAAAUUCAAUAAAAAAAGCCAUGUAUCUGUUGGAAACAUAUAUGACAAAGUAAGAGUUAAAAGCUCAUUUUUUCCUUACAGUACAAUGCUGGUCUGUAGCACUUCUUCAUCUUUGCCAUGGCACCAUUGCAAAUGAAGACCACAAUGCUGGUGUGCUAAUGGCAGGAUGUAUAGCAAUUGAUGUUUGUGCAGAUUUUCCUCUGUUAGUCACCUACCAAUGGUAUGGGAAAAGACAGGAUUCUGUGUGGCAAGGCUUCCACCUGUCUUCGGAUUGUAGAUAAAAUGCCUUUGCAGCUGUUCAUGCUUGUGUCAUGAUGCAUGCCUUGAUGUAUCCACUGCUCCUAACACUAUUUCAUUCAUUUCAGAUUGUGGACAAUUCAAAAUGACCAUCCUGCUUCCCAUAGCCCAAUGAUGCAGUCUUUAUCAAACUCCCAUCAGCUGUGCAUAAUUUCUUUGACUGCAAUGUUCAGCAUAUUAUUGAUUGAAGACCUGAAAACAACAGAAAUGCUAUUUUAUACAAGCUAAAGACUUUUAUAUGAAGAUAGAAAGAUAUCAAAAAAGAAAAAAAUCAGGUGAUUUGAAGUUGUGUUUGUAAACAUUCUUUCGCCAUAUUACUUGUCACUUAACCCAGAGGAGUGUAAUCUGUGUAAUCUGUCUAUUAAUAAAUGCCUCUGCUUCAAAAUUUCAAAAAUUUAAUGGAGAGUGAUCAGAUAAAAAUGCAUUGAAAGGAACAGACUUGGUAAUGCUGAAAAUGAUAAUACAAACUACUGUCAUAUGAAGAGGUAAUCAAAAAGUAUAAAGCCAAAAAUAAAAAAAAAUACAGGUGAGAUAAUAUAAUACAGUAAAAUAUUAGAAAUAUAUAGAUGGGUCAGACAAUUCUAGAUUUUAUAAUGUUUAUUGUAUUUGACAGGUUUUUAAAAUUUGUACUUUGUACUCAACCAAAUGACUGCUGUAAAUUAAUUGGAUCAUAAAUAUGCUAUUAUUAAUUAAUAAUAAUAAUAACAUAUUUAUAGCCCGUUUAAUUAAUGGUGAUUAUUUGAUUGAGUAUCAAUGUAUCAGGCUUUGAAAAGUUUAUUAUUUGUAAUUUGUUAUGAUUUAUUUUUAUACCUAAUUUUGUAUUCUUGUUUUUAAAGAAAACCUCAAAACUUGAAUAGGAUUCACACUACACAAAAUCUUAAAUUAGUACUGCAUAUGAAUAAUACUAGAAAGCCUACUAUUGUUUAAAAAAAAUUUAAAUUUGAAAUGUAGAAUCUAUGUCAUUUUGAAGUUUAAGCAAUUUUAGAAUAAAGAAAAUAUUAAAAUUGAUUCAAAAAGCUGGAACUGUGAUUAACAUGUGAUUAACUGUAGAAUUCUCAAUACCAUCCUUGCAUUUCCAGCAAAUACAUUUAUUAAGAAUGCAAACAUUUUUAUCUUAUUUCAUAAGCCUGCAUCAGG